AAGUCGUAACAAGGUUUCCGUAGGUGAACCUGCGGAAGGAUCAUUAACACGUAUCCACGUAUAAACCCUAUUGUGCUCCUGUAUACCGCCGCAAAGACACCCGCGUACUCACCUACCGGGUCGGCCUAAUAACCACUGCCUGGGGAGUUAUGUUUCUGGGUAUAUUGCUUCGGCAAUUGCCUUUAAAUACAGCUCUCAGUUGGCAGCGUCUUUCGCAGGCAUUGUUUCAAAUUUUAAACCUAAUUUUUAACCCCUUUACCAAUGUCUUUACUGACUUUUAUUGUGUCUUUCAGCUGUUACCGGCUGAACUACAUUAUUAUUUUACGAAAUGUUGAACAACUCUUAGCAACGGAUAUCUUGGCUCUC
rnacentral:misc_RNA from 1 species